rnacentral:pre_miRNA from 1 species
AUUUUAGUACAAUUAUGUCCCAUGCAAUAUUCGGAACAUACUUAUACUAAAA